rnacentral:tRNA from 1 species
ACGACUGUGGCUCAACUGGUAGAGCGUUGGAGUGCCAAUCAGGAGGUGCGGGUUCAUAUUCCGCUAGCCGUC